AGGACGAACGCUGGCGGCGUGCUUAACACAUGCAAGUCGAGCGGUAAGGCCUUUCGGGGUACACGAGCGGCGAACGGGUGAGUAACACGUGGGUGAUCUGCCCUGCACUCUGGGAUAAGCCUGGGAAACUGGGUCUAAUACCGGAUAUGACCUGCUCUCGCAUGGGGGUGGGUGGAAAGAUUUAUCGGUGCAGGAUGGGCCCGCGGCCUAUCAGCUUGUUGGUGGGGUAAUGGCCUACCAAGGCGACGACGGGUAGCCGACCUGAGAGGGUGACCGGCCACACUGGGACUGAGACACGGCCCAGACUCCUACGGGAGGCAGCAGUGGGGAAUAUUGCACAAUGGGCGAAAGCCUGAUGCAGCGACGCCGCGUGAGGGAUGAAGGCCUUCGGGGUUGUAAACCGUCUUUCAGCAGGACGAAGCGCAAGUGACGGUACCUGCAGAAGAAGCACCGGCUAACACGUGCCAGCAGCCGC
rnacentral:rRNA from 1 species